rnacentral:rRNA from 1 species
UACAGAGGUGGCAAGCGUUGUUCGGAAUUACUGGGCGUAAAGUGUGCGCAGGCGGCGUUGCAAGUCGAGUGUGAAAUCCCCGAGCUUAACUUGGGAAUUGCGCUCGAAACUACGAUGCUCGAGUGUGGCAGAGGAAGGUGGAAUUCCACGUGUAGCGGUGAAAUGCGUAGAGAUGUGGAGGAACACCGAUGGCGAAGGCAGCCUUCUGGGCCAACACUGACGCUCAUGCACGAAAGCGUGGGGAGCAAACAGG